rnacentral:rRNA from 1 species
GACAGAGGAUGCAAGCGUUGUUCGGAAUUACUGGGCGUAAAGCGUGCGUAGGCGGUAUUGAGAGUUACGGGUGAAAUCCCCAGGCUUAACCUGGGAGCUGCCUGUAAGACCUCAGUACUAGAGUGUGAGAGGGGAUAGUGGAAUGCCAAGUGUAGCGGUGAAAUGCGUAGAGAUUUGGCGGAACACCGGUGGCGAAGGCGGCUAUCUGGCUCACAACUGACGCUCAGGCACGAAAGCGUGGGUAGCAAACAGG